UUAAGCGACUAAGCGUACACGGUGGAUGCCCUGGCAGUCAGAGGCGAUGAAGGACGUGCUAAUCUGCGAUAAGCGUCGGUAAGGUGAUAUGAACCGUUAUAACCGGCGAUUUCCGAAUGGGGAAACCCAGUGUGNCACACUAUCAUUAACUGAAUCCAUAGGUUAAUGAGGCGAACCGGGGGAACUGAAACAUCUAAGUACCCCGAGGAAAAGAAAUCAACCGAGAUUCCCCCAGUAGCGGCGAGCGAACGGGGAGCAGCCCAGAGCCUGAAUCAGUGUGUGUGUUAGUGGAAGCGUCUGGAAAGGCGCGCGAUACAGGGUGACAGCCCCGUACACAAAAAUGCACAUAUUGUGAGCUCGAUGAGUAGGGCGGGACACGUGGUAUCCUGUCUGAAUAUGGGGGGACCAUCCUCCAAGGCUAAAUACUCCUGACUGACCGAUAGUGAACCAGUACCGUGAGGGAAAGGCGAAAAGAACCCCGGCGAGGGGAGUGAAAAAGAACCUGAAACCGUGUACGUACAAGCAGUGGGAGCACGCUUAGGCGUGUGACUGCGUACCUUUUGUAUAAUGGGUCAGCGACUUAUAUUCUGUAGCAAGGUUAACCGAAUAGGGGAGCCGAAGGGAAACCGAGUCUUAACUGGGCGUUAAGUUGCAGGGUAUAGACCCGAAACCCGGUGAUCUAGCCAUGGGCAGGUUGAAGGUUGGGUAACACUAACUGGAGGACCGAACCGACUAAUGUUGAAAAAUUAGCGGAUGACUUGUGGCUGGGGGUGAAAGGCCAAUCAAACCGGGAGAUAGCUGGUUCUCCCCGAAAGCUAUUUAGGUAGCGCCUCGUGAAUUCAUCUCCGGGGGUAGAGCACUGUUUCGGCAAGGGGGUCAUCCCGACUUACCAACCCGAUGCAAACUGCGAAUACCGGAGAAUGUUAUCACGGGAGACACACGGCGGGUGCUAACGUCCGUCGUGAAGAGGGAAACAACCCAGACCGCCAGCUAAGGUCCCAAAGUCAUGGUUAAGUGGGAAACGAUGUGGGAAGGCCCAGACAGCCAGGAUGUUGGCUUAGAAGCAGCCAUCAUUUAAAGAAAGCGUAAUAGCUCACUGGUCGAGUCGGCCUGCGCGGAAGAUGUAACGGGGCUAAACCAUGCACCGAAGCUGCGGCAGCGAUGCUUAUGCGUUGUUGGGUAGGGGAGCGUUCUGUAAGCCUGCGAAGGUGUGCUGUGAGGCAUGCUGGAGGUAUCAGAAGUGCGAAUGCUGACAUAAGUAACGAUAAAGCGGGUGAAAAGCCCGCUCGCCGGAAGACCAAGGGUUCCUGUCCAACGUUAAUCGGGGCAGGGUGAGUCGACCCCUAAGGCGAGGCCGAAAGGCGUAGUCGAUGGGAAACAGGUUAAUAUUCCUGUACUUGGUGUUACUGCGAAGGGGGGACGGAGAAGGCUAUGUUGGCCGGGCGACGGUUGUCCCGGUUUAAGCGUGUAGGCUGGUUUUCCAGGCAAAUCCGGAAAAUCAAGGCUGAGGCGUGAUGACGAGGCACUACGGUGCUGAAGCAACAAAUGCCCUGCUUCCAGGAAAAGCCUCUAAGCAUCAGGUAACAUCAAAUCGUACCCCAAACCGACACAGGUGGUCAGGUAGAGAAUACCAAGGCGCUUGAGAGAACUCGGGUGAAGGAACUAGGCAAAAUGGUGCCGUAACUUCGGGAGAAGGCACGCUGAUAUGUAGGUGAAGUCCCUCGCGGAUGGAGCUGAAAUCAGUCGAAGAUACCAGCUGGCUGCAACUGUUUAUUAAAAACACAGCACUGUGCAAACACGAAAGUGGACGUAUACGGUGUGACGCCUGCCCGGUGCCGGAAGGUUAAUUGAUGGGGUCAGCGCAAGCGAAGCUCUUGAUCGAAGCCCCGGUAAACGGCGGCCGUAACUAUAACGGUCCUAAGGUAGCGAAAUUCCUUGUCGGGUAAGUUCCGACCUGCACGAAUGGCGUAAUGAUGGCCAGGCUGUCUCCACCCGAGACUCAGUGAAAUUGAACUCGCUGUGAAGAUGCAGUGUACCCGCGGCAAGACGGAAAGACCCCGUGAACCUUUACUAUAGCUUGACACUGAACAUUGAGCCUUGAUGUGUAGGAUAGGUGGGAGGCUUUGAAGUGUGGACGCCAGUCUGCAUGGAGUCGACCUUGAAAUACCACCCUUUAAUGUUUGAUGUUCUAACGUGGACCCGUGAUCCGGGUUGCGGACAGUGUCUGGUGGGUAGUUUGACUGGGGCGGUCUCCUCCUAAAGAGUAACGG
rnacentral:rRNA from 1 species